rnacentral:rRNA from 1 species
UGAUACCUACGGGGGGCAGCAGUGGGGAAUAUUGCACAAUGGGCGAAAGCCUGAUGCAGCAACGCCGCGUGAAGGAAGAAGGCCUUCGGGUCGUAAACUUCUGUCCUUGGGGAAGAAGAACUGACGGUACCUGACCAAGAAGCCCCGGCUAACUACGUGCCAGCAGCCGCGGUAAUACGUAGGGGGCAAGCGUUAUCCGGAAUUACUGGGUGUAAAGGGAGCGUAGACGGUUAAGUAAGUCUGGAGUGAAAGGCCGGGGCCCAACCCCGGGACUGCUCUGGAAACUAUUGAACUUGAGUGCAGGG